GUGAGGAAUUUUCCGCAAUGGGCGAAAGCCUGACGGAGCAAUGCCGCGUGAAGGAUGAAGGCCUAUGGGUUGUAAACUUCUUUUCUCAGAAAAGAAUUAUGACGGUAUCUGAGGAAUAAGCAUCGGCUAACUCUGUGCCAGCAGCCGCGGUAAGACAGAGGAUGCAAGCGUUAUCCGGAAUGAUUGGGCGUAAAGCGUCUGUAGGUUGUUUAAAAAGUAUUCUGUCAAAGAUUAGGGCUUAACCCUAGAUAGGCAGAAUAAACUUUUAAGCUAGAGUUUGGUAGAGGCAGAGGGAAUUCCCGGUGGAGCGGUGAAAUGCGUAGAUAUCGGGAGGAACACCAAAGGCGAAGGCACUCUGCUGGGCCUGUACUGACGCUCAUGCACGAAAGCGUGGGGAGCAAACAGGAUUAGAAACCCUUGUAGUCC
rnacentral:rRNA from 1 species